rnacentral:rRNA from 1 species
UACGGGGGGGGCAAGCGUUGUUCGGAAUUACUGGGCGUAAAGGGCUCGUAGGCGGCCAACUAAGUCAGACGUGAAAUCCCCAGGCUCAACCUGGGAACUGCGUCUGAUACUGGAUGGCUUGAAUCCGGGAGAGGGAUGCAGAAUUCCAGGUGUAGCGGUGAAAUGCGUAGAUAUCUGGAGGAAUACCGGUGGCGAAGGCGGCAUCCUGGACCGGCAUUGACGCUGAGACACGAAAGCCAGGGGAGCGAACGGG